rnacentral:rRNA from 1 species
UACGGAGGAUGCGAGCGUUAUCCGGAUUUAUUGGGUUUAAAGGGUGCGCAGGCGGCACGGCAAGCCGGCGGUCAAAUCGCGGGGCUCAACCCCGCCCAGUCGUCGGAACUGCCGGGCUAGAGUGGGCGUGAAGUGCGCGGAAUGCGUGGCGUAGCGGUGAAAUGCAUAGAUAUCACGCAGAACUCCGAUUGCGAAGGCAGCGCACCGGCGCCCUACUGACGCUCAGGCACGAAAGCGUGGGUAUCGAACAGG